AUUGAACGCUAGCGGGAUGCUUUACACAUGCAAGUCGAACGGCAGCGCGGACUUCGGUCUGGCGGCGAGUGGCGAACGGGUGAGUAAUGUAUCGGAACGUGCCCAGUAGCGGGGGAUAACUACGCGAAAGCGUAGCUAAUACCGCAUACGCCCUACGGGGGAAAGCAGGGGAUCGUAAGACCUUGCACUAUUGGAGCGGCCGAUAUCGGAUUAGCUAGUUGGUGAGGUAACGGCUCACCAGGGCGACGAUCCGUAGCUGGUUUGAGAGGACGACCAGCCACACUGGGACUGAGACACGGCCCAGACUCCUACGGGAGGCAGCAGUGGGGAAUUUUGGACAAUGGGGGCAACCCUGAUCCAGCCAUCCCGCGUGUGCGAUGAAGGCCUUCGGGUUGUAAAGCACUUUUGGCAGGAAAGAAACGUCGCGGGCUAAUACCCCGUGGAACUGACGGUACCUGCAGAAUAAGCACCGGCUAACUACGUG
rnacentral:rRNA from 1 species